rnacentral:tRNA from 1 species
UUGACCUUAGCUCAGUUGGUAGAGCAGAGGACUGUAGUUGGAUAUGAAAUCAUGUUUUAAUCCUUAGGUCGCUAGUUCGAAUUCGGCAGGUCGGA